rnacentral:rRNA from 1 species
UCCGUAGGGUGCGAGCGUUAAUCGGAAUUACUGGGCGUAAAGCGUGCGCAGGCGGUUAUAUAAGACAGAUGUGAAAUCCCCGGGCUCAACCUGGGACCUGCAUUUGUGACUGUAUAGCUAGAGUACGGUAGAGGGGGAUGGAAUUCCGCGUGUAGCAGUGAAAUGCGUAGAUAUGCGGAGGAACACCGAUGGCGAAGGCAAUCCCCUGGACCUGUACUGACGCUCAUGCACGAAAGCGUGGGGAGCAAACAGGAGUAGAUACCCCGUAUCC